UUCCAGACUCCUACGGGAGGCAGCAGUGGGGAAUAUUGCACAAUGGGGGAAACCCUGAUGCAGCGACGCCGCGUGAGUGAAGAAGUAUUUCGGUAUGUAAAGCCCUAUCAGCAGGGAAGAUAAUGACGGUACCUGACUAAGAAGCCCCGGCUAACUACGUGCCAGCAGCCGCGGUAAUACGUAGGGGGCAAGCGUUAUCCGGAUUUACUGGGUGUAAAGGGUGCGUAGGUGGCAUGGCAAGUCAGAAGUGAAAGCCCGGGGCUCAACCCCGCGGACUGCUUUUGAAACUGUCAGGCUGGAGUACAGGAGAGGUAAGCGGAAUUCCUAGUGUAGCGGUGAAAUGCGUAGAUAUUAGGAGGAACACCAGUGGCGAAGGCGGCUUACUGGACUGUAACUGACACUGAGGCACGAAAGCGUGGGGAGCAAACAGGAUUAGAUACCCUGGUAAG
rnacentral:rRNA from 1 species